AGUAGUACAGAGGAGAAGGUGCAAUAAGGAAUGUCCUCCUGUGCUAAGAAUGCAUUCAGAACGGGGAUGCUCUGUCCGGAUGCCUUCAUGGAAGAGGUCACGAUUUUCCUCAUAGCCUGGUUUCUCUGUGCAGCCCUGGCUGUUUUGGAACUCCUGAUUUGUAGACCAGGCUCUCCUUGAACUCAGAGAUUCUGCUGCAUCUGCCUGAGAUUAAAGAUAAAGGGACACCGUGGAAACUAAACAACUUCUACCAACACCUAGACAAAUGACAGCCUGGGGACUCAGAUGCUCACAAUCUAACCAAGAUCCCUUCCUCCUAAAGGCCAAACAUUCUGCUCUACACAAAGCACUUGACUUCCGAUGAAUACAGUGUGUUUUCCUGAGAAGUUGGCAGAUGGCGAUGUAUAGAAAGUGCAGUGUCUGGCACACGCGGAGCUGCUGAUCCGUGCUACCCAUUGGCAUUGGAACAGCUGCAUUUUUGAGCAGAGACAUGAAAAGCAUGGGGGGAGAUCGUCACGCCGCCACCACAGAUGUCCCUGCCUUGGCCGAGGACAGAAGACAGCAGCCAAUAUUCACAGUGGACUGCAGAUGUUUCCCUUCACCAUGGAUCAGAGGGGCCAUUAUGGACAGCGUGGGCUCUGCAGGAGUUUUGUGUUCCAGACGGAAUAUUACAGAAUAUGCAUGGCUCCAUCCAACAUUUAUUGAAUACCUACUCUGUGCUGAGCUGCUUUCUAAAUACAAAGAUGAAUAGGUCACAUUCCUUGUCCCCUCAGACACUGAAUUACACACAAGGAGACAACACACAUAAUUAGCCGUAGCGUACUGAGGAGUUCUGUGUGUGGCAGAAACAGUGGUUGAUCUCAGGAGAGAUUUCUGUCAGAGGGCCUUGGAGGAAGAUGCAGACCGGGAGGGACAUCCAGAGUCUUCUAGGGACGGUAAAUAAUGAAAGGACUUCAAUGAAAUGAAGAGCAAAGGUCAUUUGAGGUGGUAGAGUGAGGUGCGCAGACCAGCAGGCUUCCUCGCCCCCCAACCCCCACCUCACCCAGUCACUGCCCACCCGUGACACCUUCUUUCAGUGUCUGAGUCAUACCCAGUAGAUUGCUAGGUGAGGACACCAGAAAGGCUUCGCCCACACAAAUAUGACAUGCUCCCUCAGAAUACAUGUUCCUCCAAU
ensembl:lncRNA LOC102548186 uncharacterized LOC102548186